ACGCUGGCGGCAGGCUUAACACAUGCAAGUCGAACGGUAACAGGGAUUAGCUUGCUAAUUUGCUGACGAGUGGCGGACGGGUGAGUAAUGCUUGGGAAUCUGGCUUAUGGAGGGGGAUAACUACGGGAAACUGUAGCUAAUACCGCGUAAUAUCGGAAGAUUAAAGGGUGGGACUUUCGAGCCACCUGCCAUAAGAUGAGCCCAAGUGGGAUUAGGUAGUUGGUUAGGUAAAGGCUGACCAAGCCGACGAUCUCUAGCUGGUCUGAGAGGAUGACCAGCCACACUGGAACUGAGACACGGUCCAGACUCCUACGGGAGGCAGCAGUGGGGAAUAUUGCACAAUGGGGAGAACCCUGAUGCAGCCAUGCCGCGUGAAUGAAGAAGGCCUUCGGGUUGUAAAGUUCUUUCGGUGACGAGGAAGGUUGAUAGGUUAAUAGCCUAUCAAAUUGACGUUAAUCACAGAAGAAGCACCGGCUAACUCCGUGCCAGCAGCCGCGGUAAUACGGGGGGUGCGAGCGUUAAUCGGAAUAACUGGGCGUAAAGGGCACGCAGGCGGUGACUUAAGUGAGAUGUGAAAGCCCCGAGCUUAACUUGGGAAUUGCAUUUCAUACUGGGUCGCUAGAGUACUUUAGGGAGGGGUAGAAUUCCACGUGUAGCGGUGAAAUGCGUAGAGAUGUGGAGGAAUACCGAAGGCGAAGGCAGCCCCUUGGGAAUGUACUGACGCUCAUGUGCGAAAGCGUGGGGAGCAAACAGGAUUAGAUACCCUGGUAGUCCACGCUGUAAACGAUGUCGAUUUGGGGAUUGGGCUUUGAGCUUGGUGCCCGUAGCUAACGUGAUAAAUCG
rnacentral:rRNA from 1 species